AAUCAACGCUGGCGGCGUGCCUAACACAUGCAAGUCGAACGCGAAAAGGGCUUCGGCUCUGAGUAGAGUGGCGUCCGGGUGAGUAACGCGUGGGUAAUCUACCUUUGGGUGGGGAAUAACUAGUCGAAAGGCUAGCUAAUACCGCAUAAUGCAAUUUUCUUAUUAGGGAAUUGUUAAAGCAGUAAUGUGCCUAAAGAUGAGCCUGCGUCUGAUUAGUUUGUUGGUAGGGUAAUGGCCUACCAAGACUACUAUCAGUAGCUGGUCUGAGAGGACGGCCAGCCACAAUGGCACUGAAACACGGGCCAUACUCCUACGGGAGGCAGCAGUGGGGAAUUUUGCGCAAUGAGCGAAAGCUUGACGCAGCAACGCCGCGUGAAGGAUGAAAUCCUUCGGGAUGUAAACUUCGCAAGUAUGGGAAGAAAAAAUGACGGUACCAUAUGUAAGCCCCGGCUAACUCCGUG
rnacentral:rRNA from 1 species